rnacentral:lncRNA from 1 species
UUCUGCAAAAUUCAGGAUCAUUUUUGGAAGUGCUAAGAAAACAACUUCUGCAUGAAGUUUGUAUCUGAAUCACCUUUUGGAGAUGAGAAUUUCCAGAAGUAGCUCCGACAGACUUUUCUAUGAAUUGUAAGCAAAAGGAGGACGAGACUGAUUCUGAGAAGGAAUUAAAGGUUUAGUUUCAUUCUUAAGAAUGUUACCGAUAAUUGCACUGUGAUUACUAUUUAGAUGCUGCUUGCCAACAAUAGAAUACUUGAACUUCAGAAAUGUAUUGAUAAUGACCUUCAGAAUACUUUUCCUUGGCCCUGUAGUGAAAUAAAUGCUUCCUGUGUAGUGGAUCAAAGAUAUUAAGCAUUACUAAAAGCUGGGCUGUGUGCUACAGAACUUAUUUAUUCUUUAUGUAUAAUGCAUUUGCCUCUUUUGAACAACAGUGUAUGAGGAAGAGCUGUGAACACAAAACGACCAAGUUACAACAGAGUAUCUCGGCUCAACAGCUGUAAGCACCUGCAUGUUUGAGAAGACCAAAACCUUAAAGUGACAGAUGCCAGGGAUUAUGAGAUGGUUUGAUGUUGCAGACCAAUGGGAAAUUGAAUCUAAUUCUCCUGCGAUGGCUGACUGAUGCAUUUUAUACCAGAUACAGAAUUUUGCAAUCAACUCUAAUUAGAUCUGGAUGCAGAGCUAUUCCGAGUUUCCUAUGGAAAUUUUACUGAAUUGCAUUUCAUGAGAUUCUGCUAUCUCCUGGUAAGUGCUGAAGACACAUAGAUGGUAUUUUUGUCUUUUUGAAUACAAGAGGAGCUUUGUCAGAUGGCUCUUGAUAGGAUUGUGAGACCAUGGUCUUUUGGACAGUAAUUUUCCAGAAUUCAGGUCUCUGCCAAUUUGUUUAGGAAUCAGGUUGCAAACUCCCUCUCCCCUUAGCACUUAAUUGUGUUCUUGUCAAUUAGCUAGACCACAGGGCCUGGAUGCCAUCAGAGGGGAGGCCUCAUCAUCCAAGGCCUCAAUUGUAUAAAUAACAGGCGUUAAAGGGAGUGAGGCAAGAGGUCAGGCUUCACCACAGUCUGUAGAUAACAUAGGAAUGGUGUCAAGAUGACUUUUCCUUUGAUUAUGGAAAGAGAUGAGGCACCAUAUUUAUUAGAUAAGGUGGUUGAUUUGUAGUCAGGUGCCAUAUUUAUUAGAUAAAAUGAUUGAUUCGUAGUCAAGAUCAGAUUCCAUCAUUACUUCCCAUGAGAGAUGUCAUGGGAAUAAGCUCUGCCUGGGGCCCUGUUGCUAACGAGCUGUCCAGUUCAAGGAGCAAUAACAUGGAGGCCUGCUAUGGCUCACAAGCCUGAGUAAGACUUAUAUGAAGUACAGGAGCAGUGUGUGUACCCAUCACACUUCUGUAUCAAAACCUUUGCAUGCAAUUGCAUGAAGAAGAUGGUGUCUUUAGCAGCAGGUUCUGUUUGAGAGGUCUACUGCCUAACAGGCAACUGUCAUUGGAAGUAUCCCAGAAUUAAUUUUUCUAAUUAGAUUGGUUGUUUUGCUUCUUUUAACGUAUAAAAGACCAUAUAUUUUCAUUUUUGUUAAUGUCCAUUCAUUCCUCAAAGACAUUUUUAAAACUACUUUUUUUUUUUUUUUUAAAUAACUAGUACACUCUUGAAGAUACCUUAUUUAUGGUAAGAAUUUUGGCUAACUAUUUAAGCUUGCCAUCACUGGAUCAACAUCCCAUAUAAUCUG